UGCCAGCGUUGUGUGCGUGUGUGUGUGUGUAUGCGCAUGUCAGUGCCUUUCCUUCUACUGAGCCAGUGGGGGUUAGAAAAUUCGUUGAACACUUCCAUGUAUCGAGCGGCAGCCGCCAGCGUGGAGAGUGUUUUCUCUCUCCUUUUCUUGAGCGAGGGUAUUCCAAACACUAUAAAGGACGUCUUCGCUAAUGGACUUCAGCCUUCAGUUUUUGAGCAAACUAGCAUGUCUGUCGCUCACCAUCGGGAAACUUGCAGAGUUGACCACUCCGUAACAAUGUGAAGUAAACAUUCAUUGCUACUCGUUGAAUUGUUGCCGUAUCUCCUGCCUGGCCCCCUCGGCACUCAUGAGCCGCUGCAAAAUGCAGUCAGCGGCACGAUCCGACAACCAAUGGUAAGCUCCAGACCACCAAGCCCACGCUACUUCCACAGUCUUGGGUUCCCAUCUUUAAUACGGAGCAGCAGCAAAAAAAGAAUUGACAUCUGUGAAUAAGGUAUGCGGAUGUGGGCUGCUUCCCUUGAACAUAGGAGGCAAAUGCCUUCAGGAAGUUCAGUUGCACUUUGUUAUAUGAAAAGGCGUCUCACCAAGAUUGGAAGUUGCAAACCGACAAGUGCAGUGCAUAGAUCACACACUAACAAUCCUGUCUCCAAAUUAUCAAAAUGAUGCACAGUGGGAAAACAACUGAAAUUUUAAACAAAAGCCAUCAUGGUCUCAACGAAGCCCUGCUUCAGCCAGAGUCAAGGUUACAUGCACAAAUGUCUCUAUGUAAAACGUGCUGCCUGCAAUAUCACCAACCAUGGCACGUGACUUUCGUAAGCCAACCAAUGUUAAAUGCCAUCCCUGGAUGUGUGCCCCACAGCAAAAAAGGAAGAGAAGAAAAAAAGGAAAGAAAAGACGGCUCGUCAUGCGAGUGUGACGUGAACCCUUGGCUCCGUCAUGGGGGAAGAUGAAGAAGGAAGAUCACUUGGAGGCAAAGGGGUUGAGUGCCGUCACUUUUAGCACUCGCCUCCUGGCAGCGUGAAAAUGCAACAUUUCAAUUUCUUCCAUUUCCUUUAAUAAUGAACUAAUUAGAAAUAUUUGUUUGAGGAAAUGCUCCCUUGACGGCAUCUUACAACUUCCAAUGUACCUAUAACUAAAAUUUGCCAUGGUGCUUAAUGAGAGGGGCUUUUCAGCCCAAAUUAGAUCCUGCAGACUAUAGUACUGUAUGGAAAAUAUGGUACAUGGAACUGUAAAAUUUAAUUUUCCACAGCAAUUUCUACCUGUGCAGUUGGAGUUGGCUUUGUCAUAGCAUAGAUAUGAGGACCGUGAAACAACCUUUAUUCCCUAAAGAUCCUGUCCUGUAGUAUAUUUGAGCAUUUACAUAAAGGCAUGGAGACCCUCAGUGUGUUGCAAUCUAAGUGGCAGCAUAUAGGUGGUGUGUGCUGCCUGUAGAGAUGCCACUGUAAGCCAUCUAUGUAUUGGCGGAUUUCUGAAUUGUGGAUGGGAGAAGGCUCAUGGCUGUUCUGCCUUUGCACCAAGCACUGCAGAGCACAGUGCUACAAUUUUCUGUUUGUGCAGUUCGAAGAAAAUUAUUCCUGCAGUGGCAGUGACUACACAGAAAAUGCACCCUACGAGAGUGGACAGAGUUCCAAUGUGACUGUGGUUUGAAAUGGUCCAGCCCCUGUGUAUACAAGCACCGAUUUUCCCAGACAAGUGUGACAGUGCCUGGCUUUGAAUGCAGUGUGCUGCUUCAUAAAUAUUGCAGUUGCCCAGCACUAAGCUGCCUGGAUUAUGUGGUUGCCAUAAUGACUUCUCUGUACCCGUGGGACAAAUAUUUGCACUCGAAAUAGCGACAGCAGCCAUGCAUUUCCUGCUGACAUAGAAUUAGGUUCCACAAUGUCAUCUGAUGUAUGCACAUGCUGUGAUGUGGUUGGUGUGGCCAUGCUCUUUUUUCCUCCCUUCAAGUAUGCUGGUAAACUGCCACUAGUUACAGAUGUCUGCAAGGAGUGCACACUGUGUGAGUGCUGCACAUGAAUUGAAAUUACGAUCACCACAGUGAUGAUAAAGGACACAUUGAAAGGUAAUCUGACAACACUUAUCAAGACUGUCUACAAGUUUUCUGUGAGAGAUUUCCUCAGGGUUGACAAAAACCAUCUUAGGGACCAUUUAAUGGGGUGUUACCGCCCACAUUAUGAGAUGGAAGAAAAGGAAGCCAUUAGGAUUUCUCUGGUGGUGCAAGGUGCUCAAAUAGAUGGCUUUGAAUUGCAGUAGACAUAAAUAUUAUCAUUCUUUCUGUCUGGGCACAUAACUUCUUUGCCAACCUCUCUGUCAUCUCUGUAGCACAUUAAUUUAGGAUAGUAACUCCACUCUGACGCAGGAGAUGAAAGUGCAUGCCAGACAUGCUGACCACACUGACUUGGAGAGUGCCACUUUCUUAAAUGUGGCAAAAGUCUGUGUUUUGGGCGAAAUAAGAGCUCAUAGGCAAUUUUUAUCUGUGAUAAACAGAAAUAUGUGCUGCCAGUGGUCAGACGUCAUUGAGGUCGAGCUUCUCAAGCAAGUAGAUGCCAUCGAGAAGACCAAAGAAGCCAGUGAUUAGCCAUUGUGCGCAGCAGCUUCAGAUGGCAAAGUCCAGCUGGGGUUUCUCUGCACAAGGUCACCAAGUGGCAUUCCUAAGUCACAAAGCUGCACCCAGGUAGAGGCAGAUUCCAAAAAUGCUUGUGUACUUAAGUAUAGCUGCACAUUACAGAAUCCGAGGCCCUCAACAAUCAUCCGUAGCCCUCUUGUAGCCCACGAGUUCCUUAUAUUUUAUUGGGAUUGAAGAGCAACGUUUGUGCUAUAUCCCUCUAUUUCAGACGAAAUAAUGUGCAUGCAAAAUUAUAUCUUCAUUACUUUA